UACGGAGGGUGCGAGCGUUGUUCGGAAUCACUGGGCGUAAAGCGCGUGUAGGCGGCUUCCUAAGUCUGAUGUGAAAGCCCGGGGCUUACCCCCGGAAGUGCAUUGGAAACUGAGAAGCUUGAGUACCGGAGAGGAAGGUGGAAUUCCUGGUGUAGCGGUGGAAUGCGCAGAUAUCAGGAGGAACACCGGUGGCGAAGGCGGGUCUCUGGGCAGUAACUGACGCUGAGGAGCGAAAGCGUGGGGAGCGAACAGG
rnacentral:rRNA from 1 species